UAUGGCUCAGUGGUAGAGUGUGUGCCUAGCAGGCAUGAGGCCUUGGGUUCAAUUCCUAGUA
rnacentral:tRNA from 1 species